GAUGAACGCUAGCGGCAGGCCUAACACAUGCAAGUCGAGGGGGAAGUUACUUUCGGGUGACUGAGACCGGCGUACGGGUGCGUAACGCGUAUACAAUCUGCCUUUCACUGGGGGAUAGCCCGAAGAAAUUUGGAUUAAUACCCCAUAGUAUAUAGGGACGGCAUCGUUUUUAUAUUAAAGCUUAGGUGGUGAAAGAUGAGUAUGCGUUCUAUUAGCUAGUUGGAGGGGUAACGGCUCCCCAAGGCGAUGAUAGAUAGGGGUUCUGAGAGGGAUGUCCCCCACACUGGUACUGAGAUACGGACCAGACUCCUACGGGAGGCAGCAGUGAGGAAUAUUGGACAAUGGUCGGAAGACUGAUCCAGCCAUGCCGCGUGCAGGAUGAAGGUCUUAUGGAUUGUAAACUGCUUUUGUAAGGGAAGAAUAAGGGCUACGCGUAGUUUGAUGACGGUACCUUACGAAUAAGCAUCGGCUAACUCCGUGC
rnacentral:rRNA from 1 species